UACGAAGGGGGCUAGCGUUGCUCGGAAUUACUGGGCGUAAAGCGCACGUAGGCGGCUCUUUAAGUCGGGGGUGAAAUCCUGGAGCUCAACUCCAGAACUGCCUUCGAUACUGAAGAGCUCGAGUCCGGGAGAGGUGAGUGGAACUGCGAGUGUAGAGGUGAAAUUCGUAGAUAUUCGGAAGAACACCAGUGGCGAAGGCGGCUCACUGGCCCGUUACCGACGCUCAGGCGCGACAGCGUGGGGAGCAAACAGG
rnacentral:rRNA from 1 species